GCACAGUCAAAGGAGAAACAGACCCAGAGAGAGAGAGAUGAAGAGUGAGAGACACAGAGAAACACUGAGGGGGAGAGAAAGAGGGAUUGACAAAGAAGGGAGGGGGACGACAACUGUGAAGCUCAACAUCGAGUGUGACACUGGAGAGCUUGAGGAAAGUGAGAUUGAGAUUGAGAAAGAGGAAAGGAGUAAAAAACUGCUGUCUCAGAGAGGCACUUCACACUCACUUCACCGCAAUUCCUGCAACCUGUUGAUCAGGACAGACAUUCACAUAGAACGACUGUAAAGCGUGCCUGCUGUUCAAAUGUGCUGUAAUAUUGCCACUGGAAUAUUGCCUUGAUCUGAGGUCUGCCACUGUGGACCGGCUCUAUUACAAAGGUCAGACGUAAAUAGUUCCUUUGAAUGGGAUGGCUUAAUUUCUGUCUGUCUUUCUGCCUGCCUGUCUGUGUGUUUGAUUUAGGAAUUAUAUUUCCACUCCUCAAUGAAUUACUGCAUAACUGCUUUGCCUCUACCUGUUUGUCUGCCUUCCUUUCCAACUGUCUGCUUACAGUAUGUCAUCCAUCUACCCUUGUGUGUCAUCUAUCAGUCUAUCAGUCUGUCAGUCGUCUGUCGCAGGGUGCUGCUGGCAGCACAGAGUGGGAAUAGGGGUCAUAAAAAGUUCUAGACAAGCAGCCGAGAGACGUAAUGGUAGUGGUGUAGCAAGGCCGGAGCCGUUCAAACAUUCCUCUCAUUGUUCAGAGGCCCUGUAAGUCUGUGUGCUCCCAAACCUCCAUGAAAGGAAGGGAAUCCAGCAGCUACUGUAGCUAACUCAUUUCAGAGGCGGUUGUCUGUCUUCCUGCUCGCCGUCCAGUCUGAUUCCCCUCUGGGGAUGUUGGUAUAGACCAAAUUGGGCAGAGGAAAGCAAAAAUGACGCUGAAGCACAGAGGACAAGAUAAGAAUUUGUUAAUUUAGCACCACGGGAGGGAUCUGUUGCUUUGCUCUUUAUGCGACUGACUGUGACUUAAGAUAACCUCUGCAUCAAAAGACAUGGGAAAAAGGGGAGAGAGAGGUGUUGUUAUUCUGCCUUUUACACUGAGGAAUCAUUAGAUUGGAAAACCUGACAGGGAAGGCCAAAUGGUUGAAUGGAUAGAGGAUUAGGUGGAGGAAAGAGGGAAUAGGAGGAGGAGAGAAGGUGGGGAUCCAGCCUUUACUUUGGUGGGGUGGCUGGUGGGUGGGUGGGUGUGCCCGGCAGAAAUCAGUAGGAAUGGGCCCAGGCUCAGGAAACCGUGGCGUAGUGGAAUAAAAGUGUGUGUGUGUGUGUGUGUGUGUGUGUGUGUGUGGAGUUUCUGCAUACAUUUGUGCAUGUGUGGCUCAGUGGCAGCAGGGCGGCUGUACACUAAGUACAGGGCUGGUAGUGGUAAGGGUGUUUGGCAAAGAAUCAGGCUGAGGAUAGGGUUACACGCAUUGGGCUACAGGGAGCGGACCGUGGGUUUGGGCUGGGCUCUUCACUGCUGAGGCUAGCUUUACAGCCCGAAGAGACCGAGCUUUUCACUUCUUUUUUUUUUUUUGUAAAUCUGGAGCUGGAAAUACUUUUUCAUUCUCAGACUAAUGUCCCACAUGUGGUGCGUUCCAUUGAUUCCAGGCCAGCCAAUGAACGUUCCCCUUUGAUUCAGGAAAACUGCAACAGAGAAGGCCCAUAGUAGUGCAUAGUCCUUGCUUGAAUGUCAGUGAAUGUCACGGCCUCAGCAAUAAUUACGCCCUCACGCGAAGCAAAUACAAUCUUACUCACACACGCACACAUAUGCAGACACAAACAUAGUCUGUCUGUUAGAGCCAGGGUGUGGUACUGCAUAAGGUGCGUGGGUUCAAAGAUCUACUAAAGAGGUAUCUGAUCAGUGGGAUGUGUUCUGCAUUUUCAGUUUUUUGACAGCUUUGCAGAUCUUAUGGUAGGGUUAAGGAAAGUGGCUGGGCAGAACUAGCAUCCACCCAACAGAUUUUAGAGGCCUAGGCCUUUGAAAGUUAGGUUGUUCUGCUACUGAGUUUGUAAUUGCACAGAUCAAAAACUGAAAACUUUGGAAAAAAAUGGAAUGUCACGUGAACUGAAGAAGAAAUGCUGCCACAGUUUCUGCUGUGUCAGGCAUCUUUCCUCGCUAGGCUCAUCUCUCCACCUACAGUUACUUUUCCACGUUGUCUUACUCUGUAAGCCACACUCUGCCUUAUCAUGGCAAGGUGUAAUGGAUACGACAGCAAUUAUGAGAAGCAAAUGUGGCAUAUUUAUACUUUAAGAAGGGAAUUCAUACCUUAUUGUAACCCUUGUGCUCAAAUGUUGACAUAAUGUCUUGAACUAAUGGAUGUUAGACAUAUCGAUUUCACAUGAAGCCGUGGUUGGAAACAAACCGCCGUCUGUAAAAUCCUCUGAUGCAAUGGAAAGAUAAAAAAUGACAUUUGCUUCAGUUUGAACUGCACAAUGGCAGGACGCAGCCGGUCUGUAGGUGGCCCGGCUCACUGUAUGCUCUGUGAAGCAGUUCACCAGAAGUGUGAAUGAUGUCAGAUUGGUGUGUAUUUGUAGUAUUCCUGCUGAGACAGGGUGAGAACCAAGCUAACGCACAUGCCAUGUUUGCCCGGCAGCCCAGUGACAUAACUGUGUGUUUAUUGAUAGCGAGCAUAUUAUGUGCAGAGAGGCAGAUUGUGUAUGGCAUACAAGCAUAUACAUUUCUUAGUGCAUCUGUGUGUGUGUGUGUACGUGUGUGUGUGUGUGUGUAUGUGUGUGCGCGUGCGUCCAAGGGCAUAGAGAGAGACAGAGAGAAGAUAUGUGUUGAAACAACAAGGGGUUGAGAUCCAGCUGUCUCAACAGAGGCUUUUCCACUUAACUGUGUGCCCUUGUGUAAACGUCAAUGUCAAUUCUGAAUACUUGCUGAAGGGGAGAGACACUCUGAGAAAAUAUCCAGUGGCCACGUCUACACUUGGACCUCCAUACGUCGUGUGCGUGAAUAUAAACUUGGUAGAACACACACUUCGCAUAAAGUGCAAACCCUAAAACCAUCAAAGCUCCCACACAUAAGGCCGUAAUCCAUGAAGACACUCUCUAAAAACAUUUUGACUUUAGGGUGCAUCUGCUGGCGAUUGACAUUCAGCGAUACACAUUUUGUUAUUCUACGUCUCCAUCAGGAUGCAACACGUUGGCACAAUUAUGAGCUGCCAACAAGUUGCAGCCCACAUGGCAGAACCUUAUGAUUAUUCCUAACCAGAAUAAACACCCAAUUUGAGUAGUGUGUAACAACAGGAUUGCCUGGCUCCGCUGUAGGACUUGAAAAAACAAGACAGGCCAAAUGCUAAAAGGGAGACAUGUUGAGAUCCUCACAGCGAGCGUUUGAGGUGAGGUGUUGGACAGCGUGCGUCAACCAGAAUGCCGUCAUUACAGGGGAAGGGAAGAAAUGAGCUCAUAGACAUUAAUGGCUGCGGGUUCGACGGGGGGAACGCAAAGGGUAAGAGAGAAACCGAUGGAAAAGAUGAAAAGGCAGAGAAAAUAACACAUGAGAUGAACCACUGCCAGAUGAAAGGAUGGCGGGCUAGAGGGCUUUAGGUUGAUGAAGGAGAGGAGUUAAAGAGGAGUUAGCACACCGUCUUUGAUGGGUGCUGGGACCUUAAGCGGCCUACUUUCUUGAGACGUCUUAUUGUGACCAUGUGGAGGCCAAGGGAUAUAUAAUGCACGUCUCAUAAAACAAAACUGAAAUUAAGGAGACGCUUACAACUAAAAUCCAACACAAAAUAUGUCAAGAUUCAUUUUUAUGUAGAUAUUUUAGUUUUCAAUGAACUGAGUGACAAAAAAAAACCUCUUUUGAAAAUAAUACCUCUGAUAGCUCUAAGAUUACACUAAUCUAGCUGGGGCCUCAAAAAUGCCCCUCCGUACUGUAAUUAUUCAUAAAAGAUAGCAGACAGGGGAAAAAACAACGGUUCCCAGUUGCACCAAAAUCAUAGUGUGCUUUGUGCGGUUAUAAUUUGGUGUUAUUGGUUGAUUGGACCACAGACUGAGAGAAAGAACAUUGGCCUGAAGGAAACUAGAAAGCAUCUGCACAUGAAACAGGGUUUUCCUUUUGUGUCAGGUUCAAGGCUGAUUUUAAGAUUUGCUUUAAGGCUGGAAUACAAAUGGCUUGGUUGAGUAGCAUUAAAAGUAUUCAACUUUCUUAAAUAAUAUGAAUAAUUUAGCGCUACUUUGGGAAUCUCUUUCCAAACUCUCAAACCAGACAUGGCUGCAGCCGAUUUGUGACAACAAUGAUACAGCGUUAGUGAGUUCACUGUGUCCCUGGCAAAGCUCUCCAGCAGGCCCACACUGACAACAGACAGACGGCUAAACUUAUUUAGAGUCGGGAGUUCCCCAAAAGUGUCCCACUGACUCAUACCUUGUACAUGGUGGAAUAUUUAUGCUGCUGAAAAUAAAGAGACUUCAGGAGGAUGGCAAGAAAAAGCAAUCAGCGUGGAUCUGGAGCGUGGACUGGCAUUCAGUUAUUUAAAUAUGUCCUAUCCAAACAAGUAAAAUUCAACAAAAAGGAAUUCAGAGUAAUAAGUUCUGCUCCAGUUGUAAUGAGUGUAUGUGCUUGUCCUUCUUAGGUCACAUGAAACAUUAUCAGAUAUCAUUUGACAGACAGUAAUGAGAAGCAAGAACAUGUAAAUACAGUAUCAGUUUCUUGACACAACAUGAAAAUUCCUGACAAUUUCUGAAGAGGUUUAGCAGUAACUUAGCAGCAGAGGAAACACAGCCCAGUGCUCUCCUGCCCUUUUUUUUGUUUGUUUGUUUGUUUCCACACAAGGCACAGAUAAAGCGGCAGAAGUGGAACAGAGCGGAACAAACGUCUUUAAAGGGAGUACCACUUGACUGGCCACUUCCUUCUAACCUAAUUCUCCAUUCUGUCAUCGAAAAGCUAUUUUUAUAAGAGGCCACGGGAAGUCUGGGAGUUGACAAGAACCAUGCACAUACAGGACACACAGUGCUGAGAAGGCACAGUGACUGUGACCUGUGAAUGACAAAGAUGUAGCUCAUUGGAUUACUGUGAUAAUUCAGUCUCUCACACAGAGGUAUAGAUGUGGGAUAGAGGUAACGGGCAACAAUAAGAUGGCAGCAGUCGGUAGCCUUUUAGAGGUGACAGUGAUUAAGGAGGCCUAUUAUGGUGUUUAUUUGUUUUGUUUUGCAUGCUUUGAAGUCUCCCUCUCACCACAAACUGUAUAGUCUCUGUUGGCCAGGGGAAUUCCUGGCAGAGUGAUUUUUGAGACUACAGGACUGAAUCACAUUGCCAGGGAUUUCCAAUGGCUGACAUGAAGAAAGCAAGUUCUUUUUCUCACAAACGCAGACACACACACAAACACUAAUUUGCUAACUCACACACAGUCACGCCCAUGUUUCUAAUUUGCAUACUCGCACACAAACACACCCAUCUCUUUCCCUGUCACGAACAGACGUUCGUAUGACCUGGCUGUGCGGCAGCAGGACUUAACCCACAUGUGAACAGUGAGUGUCUGCUAUGUUCACAGUGGUUAAGUUCUGCCGCCACAGGGCUGCAGCCUGCAGGGGGAGAGUAAAGGUCAGGGAGGGGCCGCACUGCUUCAAACCACUGCUCUUCACAUCAACAUCAGACUUCUGACGAGCAUGAUAGCAUCUCCUGCAAAAACCUGCUCACCUCUGCUGAAUAGAGCCAUUUUGCAUCCUCUAAAAUUCUAACUAAACUCUUUAUAUAUAAAGUGGGUUUCCAUCCACCUGUUUUUUAUGAGCAUUUUAACUUUCAAUGAGGAGACUGUAACCGUCCUCAAAUCACAUGCAACAAACACAAAUGCCACAUUUUCCUGACUGGACAAUUAAUGCCACGACUGCCCAAAUCCUAAUAUUUGUUUAGUAGAUGGAAACACGCAUAAAAGUGCAUUUUCUUUUGCAGAUUUUCUGGAAAUUGGGUAAAAAUCUGUACUCAAUUCAAUUGGAAACUUGACUACAGUGUAGCUCAGUGACAUUUAACAUGUGAACACUAUAAAAAAGCACUCUCUUUUUAAAACAGCCUGAUGUCAAUAAAGAGGCAAAAACGUGCUUCUCAUUUGCUAGACUGAUUCUUGGACCUUCUUUUUAUGGUCCCACCAUACUUGAGACUCACACCUAAUCACUUCUACCGUGACAAUGUGUUAGGUCGAGUCCGUUUGUGGUUCACGGAUGACUCAUUUUUGAGUCGUGAAACUAAAAAUGUGGCCAAGAUGGGUGUAUGGAAGCAGGUAUCACGGUUUAUAGGCUUAUGGUAAUUACUAGUAAUCUGUUGAAUUAGCUGAAAUUGUAUGGCUUCAGUGUCAGUGUCUGUUAAAUGUCAACUGUCUUGUUAGUGUUGAGGGCUGCACCUGUUCUUGUAGGGCAAGGAGUACGUCACCUUAUACCAUCAUUUGUAUCACCGGCUAUCAUUGUCUCUCAGGGGGUAGCAAGUGUGGGACUUUGCAUUCAUAUUUUCUUUUUUCUUCCACUUGUUGAUUUCUGCAUGAGCGUCAGUGUCUGUUUGUUUGACUUGUGUGUGUGUAUUGUCUGACUUUCCUGUAUAUGUGUGUGUGUGUGUCUGUCUGUCCCCCUGCUGGGUCGGUCUCCUGUGCCUGCUGUGCUGAUAAUCAGUGUGUGACGUUGGCUGGCUCAGUUCAGCAGGAACAGGGGACUGGUCUCAUUUCCACACACACAGUACACACACACACACACACACACACACACUGUGCACUUUAAUACCACUAUAAUAACUGUAGCCUGUUAUGUCGCCUUUUAGUCUGGAUGUGUACAUGCAUUUUUAAAUAAAUCUAUUUUGAAAUAACUGACAACAUUGUUAAAGUCAGUUUUUGUGUUAAACAGUGAUUUGUCUCGCUGAAUUCCUAGCUGCAACAUUUUUGUACAUUCUGUAAUGAAACACUUUACUUGGAUUUAUGUCUUCUGUCUCAUAUUAUGCACCAUUAAAAUAUACAAUUUUCAUGAAACCAUUUAAACUAUAUAAUUCAUGUGAAAAUUUAAAUUUAAUUAGACUUUGAAAUGUGUACCAUUUGUAAUAAAAUAUUUUUCCAGAAGAUCUGCUGUAAGUUUUGCUUUUGAGUUUUUGAUGAUUUAAAUUCAAAAUGGCUUUGUGUCGUUUUUGUUUAUUGUGUCUAUUAUUGUGUUGUUGACACCAUGUUUGUAAAAAAAAAAAAAAAUUAAAUACAUGAGGGCCAGAGAUUUCUUCAAAUGUGCCUUUGCUUUUAAAACCAAAAUGUAUAAAAUAAAUAUAAAGUUGAUAUUACUGUGUGUGUUUUCAACAACAUUAAAGCUUUUUGAAAAACAG